ACGGGAGUGGCAAGCGUUAUCCGGAAUUAUUGGGCGUAAAGCGUCCGCAGGCGGUCUUUUAAGUCUGUCGUCAAAGCGUGGAGCUUAACUCCAUUACUGCGAUGGAAACUGGAAGACUAGAGUGUGGUAGGGGCAGAGGGAAUUCCCGGUGUAGCGGUGAAAUGCGUAGAUAUCGGGAAGAACACCAGUGGCGAAGGCGCUCUGCUGGGCCAUAACUGACGCUCAUGGACGAAAGCCAGGGGAGCGAAAGGGAUUAGAUACCCCUGUAGUCCUGGCCGUAAACGAUGAACACUAGGUGUCGGGGGAAUCGACCCCCUCGGUGUCGUAGCCAACGCGUUAAGUGUUCCGCCUGGGGAGUACGCACGCAAGUGUG
rnacentral:rRNA from 1 species